AGCGAACGCUGGCGGCAGGCCUAACACAUGCCAGUCGAACGAACCUUUCGGGGUUAGUGGCGGACGGGUGAGUAACACGUGGGAACGUGCCUUUAGGUUCGGAAUAACUCAGGGAAACUUGUGCUAAUACCGAAUGUGCCCUUCGGGGGAAAGAUUUAUCGCCUUUAGAGCGGCCCGCGUCUGAUUAGCUAGUUGGUUGAGGUAAUGGCUCACCAAGGCGACGAUCAGUAGCUGGUCUGAGAGGAUGGUCAGCCACAUUGGGACUGAGACACGGCCCAAACUCCUACGGGAGGCAGCAGUGGGGAAUCUUGCGCAAUGGGCGAAAGCCUGACGCAGCCAUGCCGCGUGAAUGAUGAAGGUCUUAGGAUUGUAAAAUUCUUUCACCGGGGACGAUAAUGACGGUACCCGGAGAAGAAGCCCCGGCUAACUUCGUG
rnacentral:rRNA from 1 species